rnacentral:rRNA from 1 species
GAUGAACGCUGGCGGCGUGCCUAAUACAUGCAAGUCGAGCGAACAGACGAGGAGCUUGCUCCUCUGACGUUAGCGGCGGACGGGUGAGUAACACGUGGAUAACCUACCUAUAAGACUGGUAUAACUUCGGGAAACCGGAGCUAAUACCGGAUAAUAUAUUGAACCGCAUGGUUCAAUAGUGAAAGACGGUUUUGCUGUCACUUAUAGAGGGAUCCGCGCCGCAUUAGCUAGUUGGUAAGGUAACGGCUUACCAAGGCGACGAUGCGUAGCCGACCGGAGAGGGUGAUAGGCCACCCUGGAGCGGAGACGCGGUCCAGACUCCUGCGGGAGGCAGCAGUCGGGAAUCUUCCGCAACGGGCGAAAGCCUGACGGAGCAACGCCGCGUGAGUGACGAAGGUCUUCGGAUCGUAAAACUCUGUUAUUAGGGAAGAACAAAUGUGUAAGUAACUAUGCACGUCUUGACGGUACCUAAUCAGAAAGCCACGGCUAACUACGUG